rnacentral:rRNA from 1 species
AAAUGAAUAGACGGGGGCUCGCACAAGUGGUGGAGCAUGCGGUUUAAUUCGAUGCUACGCGAAAAACCUUACCAACCCUUGACAUGGUGGUCGCGGGUCUCAGAGAUGAGACCCUUCAGUUCGGCUGGACCACACACAGGUGUUGCAUGGCUGUCGUCAGCUCGUGUCGUGAGAUGUUGGGUUAAGUCCCGCAACGAGCGAAACCCUCAUCCUUAUUUGCCAGCGAUUCGGUCGGGAACUAUAAGGAAACUGCCGGUGAUAAACCGGAGGAAGGUGGGGACGAUGUCAAGUCAUCAUGGCCCUUACGGGUUGGGCUACACGCGUGCUACAAUGGUAUUUACAGAGGGACGCAAUACGGCGACGUGGAGCAAAUCCUCAAAAAAUAUCUCAGUUCGGAUUGCUCUCUGCAACUCGAGAGCAUGAAGUCGGAAUCACUAGUAAUCGCGGAUCAGCAUGCCGCGGUGAAUACGUUCUCGGGCCUUGUACACACCGCCCGU